UACGGAGGGUGCGAGCGUUGUCCGGAAUCACUGGGCGUAAAGGGCGCGUAGGUGGCCGAGCAAGGUUGCGGUGAAAGCCCGGGGCUCAACCCCGGGUCGGCCGUGGCAACUACUCGGCUUGAGCACUGUAGGGGCGGGUGGAAUUCCGCGUGUAGCAGUGAAAUGCGUAGAGAUGCGGAGGAACACCGAUGGCGAAGGCAGCCCCCUGGGCUGACACUGACGCUCAGGCACGAAAGCGUGGGGAGCAAACAGG
rnacentral:rRNA from 1 species